rnacentral:rRNA from 1 species
UAUUACUAUGGAGAGUUUGAUCCUGGCUCAGGAAGAACGCUAGCGGCAGGCCUUAUACAUGCAAGUCGAGG